rnacentral:rRNA from 1 species
UAGGGAAUAUUGCGCAAUGGACGAAAGUCUGACGCAGCAACGCCGCGUGGAUGAUGAAGUAUUUCGGUAUGUAAAAUCCUGUCGGUGGGAAAGAAACGUGUCGGUAGUAACUGCUCGACACUUGACGGUACCCACAGAGGAAGUCCCGGCUAACUCCGUGCCAGCAGCCGCGGUAAUACGGGGGGGACAAGCGUUGUUCGGAUUUACUGGGCGUAAAGGGCGCGUAGGCGGGCCUUCAAGUCAGAUGUGAAAACUUCGAGCUUAACUCGGAGCCUGCAUUUGAUACUGUUGGUCUUGAGUACAGGAGAGGAGAGUGGAAUUCCAGGUGUAGCGGUGAAAUGCGUAGAUAUCUGGAAGAACACCAGUAGCGAAGGCGGCUCUCUGGACUGAUACUGACGCUCAAGCGCGAAGGCUUGGGGAGCAAACAGG